GAUGAACGCUGGCGGCGUGCUUAACACAUGCAAGUCGAACGAUAAAGCCCAGCUUGCUGGGUGGAUUAGUGGCGAACGGGUGAGUAACACGUGAGUAACCUGCCCUUGACUCUGGGAUAAGCCCGGGAAACUGGGUCUAAUACCGGACAGGAGCGCCUGUCGCAUGACGGGUGUUGGAAAGAUUUUUCGGUCAUGGAUGGACUCGCGGCCUAUCAGCUUGUUGGUGAGGUAAUGGCUCACCAAGGCGACGACGGGUAGCCGGCCUGAGAGGGUGACCGGCCACACUGGGACUGAGACACGGCCCAGACUCCUACGGGAGGCAGCAGUGGGGAAUAUUGCACAAUGGGCGGAAGCCUGAUGCAGCGACGCCGCGUGAGGGAUGACGGCCUUCGGGUUGUAAACCUCUUUCAGUAGGGAAGAAGCGAAAGGUGACGUACCUGCAGA
rnacentral:rRNA from 1 species